UUUAAACACUUUUUAAAGUAUCAAUUGGAGGGCAAGUCUGGUGCCAGCAGCCGCGGUAAUUCCAGCUCCAAUAGCGUAUAUUAAAAUUGUUGCAGUUAAAAAGCUCGUAGUUGAAUUUCUGUUAAAAAUAACCGGUCUGCUUUUAUUAAAAGUGGUAUCUUGGUGUGUUUUUAGCAAUAAUGUCCUUUGAAAUGUUUUUUACUUUAUUGUAAUAAGUCAUUAUUUUGAGGAUUUUUACUUUGAGAAAAUUAGAGUGUUUCUAGCAGGCUUACGCUUUUGAAUACUGCAGCAUGGAAUAAUAAGAUAGGAUUUUAGUUCUACAUUAUUGGUUUUAAGAACUAAAUUAAUGAUUGAUAGGGAUAGUUGGGGGCAUUUGUAUUUAACUGUCAGAGGUGAAAUUCUUAGAUUUGUUAAAGACAAACUACUGCGAAAGCAUUUGCCAAAGAUGUUUUCAUUAAUC
rnacentral:rRNA from 1 species